GACGAACGCUGGCGGCGUGCCUAAUACAUGCAAGUUGAGCGCUGAAGGUUGGUACUUGUACCAACUGGAUGAGCAGCGAACGGGUGAGUAACGCGUGGGGAAUCUGCCUUUGAGCGGGGGACAACAUUGGGAAACGAAUGCUAAUACCGCAUAAAAACUUUAAACACAAGUUUUAAGUUUGAAAGAUGCAAUGGCAUCACUCAAAGAUGAUCCCGCGUUGUAUUAGCUAGGUGGUGAGGUAAAGGCUCACCAAGGCGAUGAUACAUAGCCUACCUGAGAGGGUGAUCGGGCACAUUGGGACUGGGAACCGGCCCAAACUCCUACGGGAGGCAGCAGUAGGGAAUCUUUGGCAAUUGACGAAAGUCUGACCGAGAACAGCCGCGUGAGUGAAGAAGGUUGUCGGAUCGUAAAACUCUGUUGGUAGAGAAGAAAGUUGGUGAGAGUGGAAAGCUCAUCAAGUGACGGUAACUACACAGAAAGGGACGGCUAACUACGUG
rnacentral:rRNA from 1 species